CACACUGGACUGAGACACGGUCCAGACUCCUACGGGAGGCAGCAGUGGGGAAUAUUGCACAAUGGGCGAAAGCCUGAUGCAGCCAUGCCGCGUGUAUGAAGAAGGCCUUCGGGUUGUAAAGUACUUUCAGUUGUGAGGAAGGGGGUAGCGUUAAUAGCGCUAUCUCUUGACGUUAGCAACAGAAGAAGCACCGGCUAACUCCGUGCCAGCAGCCGCGGUAAUACGGAGGGUGCGAGCGUUAAUCGGAAUUACUGGGCGUAAAGCGCAUGCAGGUGGUUCAUUAAGUCAGAUGUGAAAGCCCGGGGCUCAACCUCGGA
rnacentral:rRNA from 1 species